rnacentral:tRNA from 1 species
GCCUCGUUGUGCAUAGCGGCGAUUGCAGCGGUCUGUAAAACCGUGACUUUGAUACGUCGGUGGUUCGAGUCCACCACGGGGCACUA